CAGCCGCCGCGGUAAUACGAAGGGUGCAAGCGUCAAUCGGAAUUACUGGGCGUAAAGCGUGCGUAGGCGGUGAGUUAAGUCUGCUGUGAAAUCCCCGGGCUCAACCUGGGAAUGGCAGUGGAUACUGGCUCGCUAGAGUGUGUCAGAGGAUGGUGGAAUUCCCGGUGUAGCGGUGGAAUGCGUAGAGAUCGGGAGGAACAUCAGUGGCGAAGGCGGCCAUCUGGGACAACACUGACGCUGAGGCACGAAAGCGUGGGGAGCAAACAGGAUUAGAUACCCCUGUAGUCCCUGUCUCUUAUAC
rnacentral:rRNA from 1 species